GAGGAGAAGAUGGCUGCGCCGACUUCCCAAAUUACGAAACCGGUUGGGGAAGGGAAAGGAAGGCGAGCAGGAAGCAAGCAGUAAGAAUUCCUGAAUUGUUACUACAGUUGUUCCCAAUCGGAAAAGACUGCCAAGAUCAUUUAGACCAACCAUCACCACCAUGGCCACUAAACCACGUCACCAUUUCCCCUAUGAUAGUGCGAUUCACGCCGGGAGGAAGGAGCUCAUCGCCAUCCCUUGGAGCAGUGCCAGUCCCCGUUGGCUUUCCCAUCCCUUCCAUAUGACCCUCUCGUUAAUUAUCAUCACAUUCAUGUUGCUCGUGUUAAUUUACAUUCCCAACACACCGCGGGUGCAACAGUUGCCUGCUCCUCCAUGGAAAUAGGGGGGUGUUACUGGCGGCCUCGUUAGAGCCGUCAGUAAUUACCCGUAAUUUCAGUCACCCCGAAGAUGCCUACAGGUGGGUGAGAUUCAGCAUUACACGGUGUUUCCUUUGAGCAGAGGCAACGGGGGUGGUGCUGGUACCCAAACGAUGCAAAUGGGAGGAGCAGAGAUGAAUCCAAUGAGAAAACCCAAGAGGAACCUGGAUGCUCACAGUGCAGCUCCAGCAUAACAAAAUUUGUGCCAAGUGGGUUGGAUAUUAGGAAAAACUUCUCCGUAAGAGUGGCUGGGCGCUGGAAUAGGCUGCACAGGGAGGUGGUGCAGUCACCAUCCCUGGAGGUGUUCAACGUGGAGAUGUGGUGCUUAGGGCCACGGUUUGGUGGGCAAUAUUGGUGGUAGGUGGGUGGUUGGACUUGAUGAUCUUGGAGGUCUUUUCCAACCUUAAUGAGCCAAUGAUUCUGUGAUUGAAUGAAAAUUCUGCCCUGGGACAGUGUUCUGUUGUGUGCGGAGGACGUUGAAGCUGUCUGAAGGCUUGAAGUGGUUAACACUGCAGCAUCCAUAAACGAGGGAGUUAACGACACCAAACUCCACAACAAAAAAUUAAAGGCACCCCAAAGAACGUUUUCUUAAUUGUAGCAGCCCGCUGCAUUAAAUCUGCAAUAGGAAAAUUCAUUUACAAUUCAGCUAUUAAAUUUCAGACCAUUACCACUACCUUUAUGGCUUUAUAUUCCUCUAACGAAUUUAUUGUGUAAUUACUCCAUGUACCAGCACCGUUUCUGGCGAGUAAAAUUGAAAUAAGGCACCUCUUUCAAAACCCAAACAGCUCUGCAUUUCCAGAGCAAAAAGGGGAAUUUUGAGGAUGGAUCUGGAGAGCUGAGCGGAGGCUUCCAAAUGAGUGCCCAAAUGUGGACCCUUUUGGCAUGGAAGGGUUGGGAGAAGGAGCUCUGUUGUGUGGGGUUUCUCUUGGGGACGGCUUUGGGAGUUGGCGUUUCUCAACCCAUCAUGGGUUCAGCCAACGCAAUGACUGAAGGAAAGGAAAAACAAACCCGAAAAUCGAAAUAAACGG
rnacentral:lncRNA from 1 species